rnacentral:rRNA from 1 species
CACAUGCAAGUCGAGCGGCAGCGGAAAGUAGCUUGCUACUUUGCCGGCGAGCGGCGGACGGGUGAGUAAUGUCUGGGAAACUGCCUGAUGGAGGGGGAUAACUACUGGAAACGGUAGCUAAUACCGCAUGACCUCGCAAGAGCAAAGUGGGGGACCUUCGGGCCUCACGCCAUCGGAUGUGCCCAGAUGGGAUUAGCUAGUAGGUGGGGUAAUGGCUCACCUAGGCGACGAUCCCUAGCUGGUCUGAGAGGAUGACCAGCCACACUGGACCUGAGACACGGUCCAGACUCCUACGGGAGGCAGCAGUGGGGAAUAUUGCACAAUGGGCGCAAGCCUGAUGCAGCCAUGCCGCGUGUGUGAAGAAGGCCUUCGGGUUGUAAAGCACUUUCAGCGAGGAGGAAGGCAGUCGUGUUAAUAGCACGAUUGAUUGACGUUACU